UAGAAACAACUUUAACAGUUACUCUAAGGCUUCCUUUCAUCAUAAAGAGGUGGGAUAAUGAAUUUAAAAAAAAGGAAGAAAUUGGAAGAGGCUGCUAAAAAUUAUAGCUCUUAGCUGCAAGAUAGUGAUGACAACAACAAAUAGUCAACACCUCAUGUGACCAAAGCUACACCUAAACAUAGGGAAACAAAUAGACAAAAGACAGUACAUAUUUGCAGGGAUAAGUACAAUGGCAAAAGCAAAAGAAGAAGGGCAGAACAGGAAAAAAAAUAAUAUCAACACUAGCAGAAGAUAUGCAUGCCUAAGUCCCCAUAAUAUAAUACAAAUGUAGGCUUUCAGACUCAAAAUAUGCAAGCAAAUAAUCCUAAGCUGUUGAAUCUGCAAAAUCCAUCAGGCUACUUUUCCUGGAAAAUAACAACUCAAUUAUUGCUUCAAGCAUGGUUUUUGGUACUUGAAAAAUAACAAGAAAUCUCCAAUUAUGUCUCCAGUUUGUUUUUGUUUUCACCCUGGGAAAAGCAUACUCGUUUAGUUAUGGUCAAGGCUGAAAGGGGUUUGAUCAAUCGGAUCAUCCUUUUGGAUGGCUUCAUCAUCUAUUAAUGGUUCCACAGUUCGGUAUUUGGUAUUUUCAAAAGAUACAGAGUUCUUGGUUGUUUGUUUCCACAAAUGUUGAAGAUGUUCAAGAACUCUUAAUUUCUAUUAUCCUCAACUUGCUCAUGUUGGUUUUUGCUAA